CACCAGAUUUCCAGGACCAAGCCAUGCAGGACACAGCUGGGGGAUUCUGGUCACCUGGGCUCAGAUUCCAACUCUACUUCUCAAGUGGUACCAGGCUAGUCACUCACUCAACCUCUCCAUGCCUCAGCCUCCUCUUCUGGAAACAGGAAAACCAAGACCUCCCCACAAGCUUGGCUUCUGGAAGCCUUUGUCCCGAGCGUGGCUAGAAGCCCCUAGGAACUGCAUUUCCACAGGCAGCCCUAACCAGCCACUUCCACGGAGAUCCUAUGAGGAGCAGGAGGAGGAGGAGGAAGAAGAAAGAAGCAGCAGCUGCAUGUAUCUGUAAUCCUUGUGGUGAAGAGGAGGAGGAGAUAGAAGGAUCCCUGGGACUUCCUGCCCUGCCAGUCUUCAAAAAUGACCUGGACACAUCCUUCUAGUGCCUGGCUGUCCAUGCUCCGUUCACUCUGCUCUGGAGAGAUGUUGGAGCCGUGGCCGCCAGCUGGAAGGGAAGGGCGAGGCCCCAGGUUUAGCACAAACCGUCUUCUUGGUCCAGCCUCUGCCAUGUGUGUACAAAGGAAGCAUACUUCUUGAUGGCAUGGGGCUUUGCUGGUGGUCUGGAAACCUCGGGAAGAUGCUGCCUCCCUCUCUCCUGUCCUCUUGUGGCAGCUGAGAUGGAGGCAUGGGACCGUGAUUCCUUCCCAUCUGCACCAGCAUCUUCCUGCAUCUUCUUGAGGACACUGUCACUCUCAGCACCUUGGCCCAAGAAGCAAUAUGGAAACAGAUGCAGAGGCCCCGCUGUGUGCUAACACUCCCAGGCUGUCCUUCAGGUCACCCUCUGUGACAUGUCACCGAGGGGAGCCAGUCUACGAGUGCCCCCGUUCUAUCAGAGUCAGCUCCUGCCUGCAUCUGUCACUGCUGAUUGCAUUUGAAUGGCUUCGUCUCUUUUUUAAAUAAAAGAUUUAUGCCUUA